rnacentral:rRNA from 1 species
ACUCCUACGGGAGGCAGCAGUGAGGAAUAUUGGUCAAUGGAGGGAACUCUGAACCAGCCAUCCCGCGUGUAGGAAGACGGCCUUUAUGGGUUGUAACUACUUUAUACAGGAAGAAACGUACCCUCGUUGAGGGUGCCUGACGGUACUGUAGGAAUAAGCACCGGCUAACUCCGUGCCAGCAGCCGCGGUAAUACGGAGGGUGCGAGCGUUAUCCGGAUUUAUU